rnacentral:rRNA from 1 species
UUAUAACCGGCGAUUUCCGAAUGGGGAAACCCAGUGUGAUUCGUCACACUAUCAUUAACUGAAUCCAUAGGUUAAUGAGGCGAACCGGGGGAACUGAAACAUCUAAGUACCCCGAGGAAAAGAAAUCAACCGAGAUUCCCCCAGUAGCGGCGAGCGAACGGGGAGGAGCCCAGAGCCUGAAUCAGCAUGUGUGUUAGUGGAAGCGUCUGGAAAGGCGCGCGAUACAGGGUGACAGCCCCGUACACAAAAGCGCAUGUGCUGUGAGCUCGAUGAGUAGGGCGGGACACGUGGUAUCCUGUCUGAAUAUGGGGGGACCAUCCUCCAAGGCUAAAUACUCCUGACUGACCGAUAGUGAACCAGUACCGUGAGGGAAAGGCGAAAAGAACCCCGGCGAGGGGAGUGAAAAAGAACCUGAAACCGUGUACGUACAAGCAGUGGGAGCACAGGUUUACCUGUGUGACUGCGUACCUUUUGUAUAAUGGGUCAGCGACUUAUAUUCUGUAGCAAGGUUAAC